GGAGAGGUGGCAGAGCGGCUGAAUGCACCGGUCUUGAAAACCGGCAAGGGUUAAUAGCCCUUCGUGGGUUCAAAUCCCACCCUCUCCGCCA
rnacentral:tRNA from 2 species